rnacentral:misc_RNA from 1 species
GAAACGCGAUAGUUAAUGUGAAUUGCAGAAUUCAGUGAAUCAUCGAGUCUUUGAACGCACAUUGCGCCCAUAGGUAUUCCUUUGGGCAUGUCUGUUUGAGCGUCAUUACAACCCUCAGCUAACCGCUGGUUUUGAACCUGAACGGGUGACACCGCGCCGGUUUUAAAGUUGUAAGCUCUGCUGGCUGCUCUGCCCAACCAGAACAUAGUAAGCACUACUUGUCCGGGUGAAGCUGAACGGUACGGCCUGAACAAAACCUACCCACUCUCAAGGUUUGACCUCAGAUCAGACAAGGAUACCCGCUGAACUUAAGC